rnacentral:rRNA from 1 species
UACGAAGGGGGCUAGCGUUGCUCGGAAUCACUGGGCGUAAAGGGUGCGUAGGCGGGUCUUUAAGUCAGGGGUGAAAUCCUGGAGCUCAACUCCAGAACUGCCUUUGAUACUGAGGAUCUUGAGUCCGGGAGAGGUGAGUGGAACUGCGAGUGUAGAGGUGAAAUUCGUAGAUAUUCGCAAGAACACCAGUGGCGAAGGCGGCUCACUGGCCCGGUACUGACGCUGAGGCACGAAAGCGUGGGGAGCAAGCAGG